rnacentral:tRNA from 1 species
GGGAAGGUGGCUCAGUGAUAGAGUGCUUGCUUUGCAUGCAUGAGGCCCUGGGUUCGAUUCCUUACCACCACA